GAUGAACGCUGGCGGCGUGCCUAAUACAUGCAAGUCGAGCGAACAGAUGAGGAGCUUGCUCCUCUGACGUUAGCGGCGGACGGGUGAGUAACACGUGGAUAACCUACCUAUAAGACGGGGAUAACUUCGGGAAACCGGAGCUAAUAACGGAUAAUAUAUUGAACGGCAUGGUUCAAUAGUGAAUGACGGUUUUGCUGUUACUUAUAGAUGAAUCCGCGUCGCAUUAGCUAGUUGGUAAGGUAACGGCUUACCAAGGCAACGAUGCGUAGCCGACCUGAGAGGGUGAUCGGCCACACUGGAACUGAGACACGGUCCAGACUCCUACGGGAGGCAGCAGUAGGGAAUAUUCCGCAAUGGGCGAAAGCCUGACGGAGCAACGCCGCGUGAGUGAUGAAGGUCUUCGGAUCGUAAAACUCUGUUAUUAGGGAAGAACAAAUGUGUAAGUAACUAUGCACGUCUUGACGGUACCUAAUCAGAAAGCCACGGCUAACUACGUG
rnacentral:rRNA from 1 species